rnacentral:rRNA from 1 species
AUUUACCCUUUUUUCAUAUAGUUUAAACCUGCAUCAGAAGCUAAGCUGGGUCGGGCCUGGUUAGUACUUGGAUGGGAGACCACCUAGGAAGACCAGGUACUAUAGGCA